GUGGGGAAUUUUGGACAAUGGGCGCAAGCCUGAUCCAGCAAUGCCGCGUGCAGGAAGAAGGCCUUCGGGUUGUAAACUGCUUUUGUACGGAACGAAACGGCUCUGGUUAAUACCCGGGGCUAAUGACGGUACCGUAAGAAUAAGCACCGGCUAACUACGUGCCAGCAGCCGCGGUAAUACGUAGGGUGCAAGCGUUAAUCGGAAUUACUGGGCGUAAAGCGUGCGCAGGCGGUUUUAUAAGACAGGCGUGAAAUCCCCGGGCUCAACCUGGGAAUGGCGCUUGUGACUGCAAAGCUGGAGUGCGGCAGAGGGGGAUGGAAUUCCGCGUGUAGCAGUGAAAUGCGUAGAUAUGCGGAGGAACACCGAUGGCGAAGGCAAUCCCCUGGGCCUGCACUGACGCUCAUGCACGAAAGCGUGGGGAGCAAACAGGAUUAGAAACCCGAGUAGUCC
rnacentral:rRNA from 1 species